rnacentral:misc_RNA from 1 species
UGGUCAGCAAGUGACCCAAUUGAAGGAUCUAAUUCACCUUUUAUUAAAAUGAAUGGGUUUUCUGUAAGUUUUACAACAAAGAAGUAAUUUUGAACAGCUUACCUUUUAGCUUGUAGUGAAAGUGCUGACCUGAAAUAUCAAAGACUUUGAAUAACAAAAAUAGUUCAUCAUUAUUCCCGCAUAAAAUAUAAACAGACCGGCAUCUUUUCAUGGAGCCAUAAGUCCCUCAAAUGUAUAAAAGAGUGAGUCUGCCCAAUCAACUUUAAAUAGCAAUGACUGCAGAGCGUGCAGCAAAUCAUAAUCUGGAUCCAGUUUCCGCUGCCACCCCAUCACAAUACAAACAUUGCCAUCAAUAUUGACUUUAUGGCGUCGAACAUGCUCAAGUAGUUGCUGCAUGUAAUCAGCAGGACGAACAAAACCAUCAUCUGGGGACCUCCAUAAAUUGUAAAACUUCUCAACUUCCUCAAUGAAAGCCUUAGGAUCUGGGCAGUUUUGCUGUUUAGAUAAUCUAAGUAUGCACUCUGCAGCAGUUCGACCAUCAAGAAGGGCAAUGGCCUUAAAGAAUUCUAGUAUAUUAAAUCGAUCUCUCUUAGAAAGUUCAGCUGUCAUUCCCACAUCAAGGAAGACAACUUGAGGUCUUGAUCCAAAGAGCUGCUUGUGCGGUUCGUCAUCCAUUAAUCGAACAAGAAUAUUUCCAGGAUGCAUGUCUGCAUGGAUGAAAUUAUCUAUCAAAAGCAUCUUUAAAAGAGCUUGUGUUCCAAUGUGAGCAAGGGCACUUUUAAUUCUUUUGUUUCCUUCAACAUCAACAUAGUGCAGCACACUUUCACCUUGUUCAUAAGUUUCAACAAGCACAGCUGGGUGCACUAAGGGAUACAGAGGCCUUGGGAAUGAUACAUCCUUCCAUCUCCGGAAAUUAUAGAUGAAGCGGCUCAAAUGGGCUGCUUCUCUUGCAAGAUCAACUUGAGACAUCAUGAAGACAGCAAAGUGUUGUAUGCUUUCUUCCAAUCUAGUCCAUUUUAAUGUAGGAACAAACUUUGAAAUUUUGGCUAAAAAAUUUAUUAAUACAAAAUCCCUUCUAAUUCCUCCAGCAACGCUUGGAUGUCGAACCUUUCCAGCCACUACAAUGGGCUCAAUCUCC